rnacentral:rRNA from 1 species
UACGUAGGGGGGCUAGCGUUGUCCGGAUUUUAUUGGGCGUAAAGAGCGUGUAGGCGGCCAGGUAGGUCUGCUGUGAAAACUCGAGGCUCAACCUCGAGACGUCGGCGGAAACCAUCUGGCUAGAGUCCGGAAGAGGAGAGUGGAAUUCCCCAGUGUAGAGGUGAAAUUCGUAGAUAUUGGGAAGAACACCGGUGGCGAAGGCGGCGACCUGGUCCUUUACUGACGCUGAGGCGCGAAAGCGUGGGGAGCAAACAGG